UUAAUCCAGGCUAUCAUCCACUUCGGAAGAGGCUCGAACGAGUACCAAAUAGGCAAAUUCUUGAUUCCAGGCGUGAUUGUUAUCGUUCCGGUGCAAUUAUCCCCCAAUAUGCUGAAUGCAAGUUGGCAGAAGUCUCUGUACGCUUUCUCCGACUUAUUAUCGUCAUACUUGUCAUAUCCAAUGUUAGCGUUGUAUGGUGGGU
rnacentral:rRNA from 1 species